rnacentral:rRNA from 1 species
GAUGAACGCUGGCGGCGUGCCUAAUACAUGCAAGUCGAGCGAACGGACGAGAAGCUUGCUUCUCUGAUGUUAGCGGCGGACGGGUGAGUAACACGUGGAUAACCUACCUAUAAGACUGGGAUAACUUCGGGAAACCGGAGCUAAUACCGGAUAAUAUUUUGAACCGCAUGGUUCAAAAGUGAAAGACGGUCUUGCUGUCACUUAUAGAUGGAUCCGCGCUGCAUUAGCUAGUUGGUAAGGUAACGGCUUACCGAGGCAACGAUGCAUAGCCGACCUAAGAGGGUGAUCGGCCACACUGGAACUGAGACACGGUCCAGACUCCUACGGGAGGCAGCAGUAGGGAAUCUUCCGCAAUGGGCGAAAGCCUGACGGAGCAACGCCGCGUGAGUGAUGAAGGUCUUCGGAUCGUAAAACUCUGUUAUUAGGGAAGAACAUAUGUGUAAGUAACUGUGCACAUCUUGACGGUACCUAAUCAGAAAGCCACGGCUAACUACGUG